rnacentral:misc_RNA from 1 species
AAGUCGUAACAAGGUUUCCGUAGGUGAACCUGCGGAAGGAUCAUUUCCGAAACAAAUUCAUAUCAACCAACCAUGUGAAUUGUAAUUGUCUUUACUGUGGCACAUCUAAAAAAGGGGAGUGUGUGCUGGGAGAGAGGGGGAAAAGAGGGGGGAAGUGACGAAAGUCAUUUCUCCUCCUCCUCCCCCCCCUUCUGGCUCCCUCUGUGCCACAGGCCUUGAUGAACUACCUUGAAUAGGUUGAUUUAUUGUCGUUCUUCCUACCAAUAUGGAAAACUAAUUAAAUGACAACUUUUAACGGUGGAUCUCUUGGCUCGU